rnacentral:rRNA from 1 species
AUACGGAGGGGGCGAGCGUUGUUCGGAAUUACUGGGCGUAAAGCGCGCGUAGGCGGUUAGGUAAGUCGGAUGUGAAAGCCCUCGGCUCAACCGAGGAACUGCGUCCGAUACUGCCCGACUUGAGUCCGGUAGGGGAUGGCAGAAUUCCCGGUGUAGCGGUGGAAUGCGUAGAUAUCGGGAGGAAUACCGAUGGCGAAGGCGGCCAUCUGGGCCGGAACUGACGCUGAGGCGCGAAAGCUAGGGGAGC